UACGGGGGGAGCAAGCGUUGUUCGGAUUUACUGGGCGUAAAGGGCGCGUAGGCGGCGUAACAAGUCACUUGUGAAAUCUCCGGGCUUAACCCGGAGCGGCCAAGUGAUACUGUUGUGCUAGAGUGCGGAAGGGGCUACUGGAAUUCUCGGUGUAGCGGUGAAAUGCGUAGAUAUCGAGAGGAACACCUGCAGCGAAGGCGGGUAGCUGGGCCGACACUGACGCUGAGGCGCGAAAGCCAGGGGAGCGAACGGG
rnacentral:rRNA from 1 species